UAUUUUUUGCAUUUUAGGUUGUGUCUCAGUGGUAACGAUCAAAACCAUACAAAGAUGCAUACAGAUUGUAGAUGGACGUGUUCUCAGAUUUGGAGCAUAUCUGAUUUGUUGUGCUUUAAAAAGAUAGUGUUCUGAGGCAAAGAUCAAGAACAUACAUACAUAUCAUGGACGAUGACGGACGAAGGUGUUGUUAGAUCUGGACCAUAAAUGAUUUUACACAUGCCUUUGUGUAAAUAUACAGAGUACAAGGUUACCAUGGAAAUGUACCUCUACAUCUAGCCAGAGAUAAAUGGAUGACCGACGUCCAAGUCACCGAACAGCAGUGAGAGAAAUACUGCAACCGAUCACGUGACAAACGCUUAGUUUUGAAUAGCAUAAGCCUUGCUAAGAUCUGUACAUAAAUUCAGAUUUUUCCAAACUGAUGGCUGAUGUUGAAUACAAGCACAUGUGAAGAUAUAAUGUUGUAGAUAUCGCAAUGGUUUAGCGGACGGUGCAGCUAUGGUAAGUAAUGUUGACUUCACAAGCACUGCAAGGAAUUCACAAUGGUUUAGUGGAUUGUGCAGCUUGGUCGUUUUUCUAGGGCACAACGGGAAAGCUAAGGUCGACAUUUCUCCCAGAGUAACUUGAGAGCUUCGGGCAUGCGCAUACAGUUUCUGGCUUUGGUGAUUGUAAAGUUCGAAGUAUUUGGUGAGAGACUAACCAACGAAGGACACAAACCAUCUGAUGAGUAGCAGUUUCCUAGACCAUACACGAAGAAACUUUUAGUUAAUGGAACUACAAUUGCCACAGGCCUGCCUUGCUGGUACCAUAAAGCUGCCGAUAAACAGAGGUGCACUAGUACCUGUCGAUACCGGUCACCAGAGACGCACUGGUACCCUAUCGAUGCCGAUCAUCAGAGGUGUGCUGGACCCCUUAUGUCAUGAUGUCAACAUAUUGAUCAGGUGUUUUCAACCAGCACUGAUCGAUGGUUUUAAUGGAAUUCAAAGCUUGAUGGACAUAUCGUCUGUAUUUGUCCUGUCGUACUCACGGUAAAGAGCUCUUCAACACCUCUUGCACAAAACAAAAAAAUCCUGGAUGGCCGGGCAGACGAAGACUUCAGUCAGGUUUGAAAAGGCAAGAAAACAGUUUUACGAAUCGAUUGCAGAAACAUAUCAUCAUGCCGCCCUGUGUUUGUUAUUUCCAACAGAUGACAGUGCGAUGCGUUCCAGAUUGAUUUCAAACACACAAGAGAGAAAUAUAUGCGGAAGGAAGAAAGAAGUAUGAUGAAUUCACGACAAACCUUGCACAGGAUAUAAGCAUGACACCACCACAGCCACCCUGACACAAGCAUAUUUAAACAAAUUAGAAAUAAGCUGACAUGUUUAUAAUCAUAUCCCCACGUACAAAGUGUAUGGGGUUAUAUUGGAGUCACGUAUGUCCACCAGUCUGUUCGUCCGUCCGUCCAUCGUGUCCGCUUUCAUAAAACUGACAUCAAUUAUUAACCACAUCAAGACGGUGUGCUGAGCUCACAACCCAUGUCACUAGGUCCAAAGUUAAGGUUACUCUUUGAGGUCAAAAGUCAUAUAGUUUAACUUCAUGUCCGCUCCAUAUUGUCUAAAUGGCUUGGAAGGUACAAAGCUCGACUACUCGAAUAAUAAAAAUGAUUGUUAUACUUGCCUUUGCGUCGGUGUCACUGUCACCGAUGUAUUCAAGUUAAAAUUUUGUAGCAAGCUUGUGUCACUAUAUAUUCUUUACUACGUAUACUUCCCCUUUUAACUUCAAACUUCAUAUAAGUGUUAGUCUUGGUACGGGACAGACAUGUAUUACUUUUAGAGUCUGGCUUCCUAAACGUCAAGGUCACUGGG